rnacentral:rRNA from 1 species
UUCCGGUUGAUCCUGCCGGAGGUUACUGCUAUCGGUGUUCGCCUAAGCCAUGCGAGUCAUAUGUAGCAAUACAUGGCGUACUGCUCAGUAACACGUGGAUAACCUGCCCUUGGGACCGGCAUAACCCCGGGAAACUGGGGAUAAUUCCGGAUAACGCAUAUGUGCUGGAAUGCUUUAUGCGUAAAAUGGAUUCGUCUGCCCAAGGAUGGGUUUGCGGCCUAUCAGGUAGUAGUGGGUGUAAUGUACCUACUAGCCAGCGACGGGUACGGGUUGUGAGAGCAAGAGCCCGGAGAUGGAUUCUGAGACAUGAAUCCAGGCCCUACGGGGCGCAGCAGGCGCGAAAACUUUACAAUGCGGGAAACCGUGAUAAGGGGACACCGAGUGCCAGCAUCAUAUGCUGGCUGUCCAGGUGUGUAAAAUACACCUGUCAGCAAGGGCCGGGCAAGACCGGUGCCAGCCGCCGCGGUAACACCGGCGGCCCGAGUGGUGAUCGUGAUUAUUGGGUCUAAAGGGUCCGUGGCCGGUUUGGUCAGUCCUCCGGGAAAUCUGAUAGCUUAACUAUUAGGCUUUCGGGGGAUACUGCCAGACUUGGAACCGGGAGAGGUAAGAGGUAC